GCCAGGCGAGGUGUUGCGUGCCUGUAAUCCCAGCUACUUGGGAGGCUGAGGUGAGAGGAUUGCUUGAGCCCAGGAAUUCAAGGCUGCAAUGCACUAUGAUUGUGCCUGUGAAUAGCCACUGCACUAUAGCCUGGACAACACAGUGAGACCACGUCUCCA
ensembl:misc_RNA Metazoa_SRP Metazoan signal recognition particle RNA